rnacentral:rRNA from 1 species
GACGAACGCUGGCGGCGUGCUUAACACAUGCAAGUCGAACGGAAAGGCCCAGCUUGCUGGGUGCUCGAGUGGCGAACGGGUGAGUAACACGUGGGUGAUCUGCCCCUAACUUCGGGAUAAGCUUGGGAAACUGGGUCUAAUACCGGAUAGGACAAUCGUUUAGUGUCGGUUGUGGAAAGUUUUUUCGGUUAGGGAUGAGCCUGCGGCCUAUCAGCUUGUUGGUGGGGUAAUGGCCUACCAAGGCGUCGACGGGUAGCCGGCCUGAGAGGGUGGACGGCCACAUUGGGACUGAGAUACGGCCCAGACUCCUACGGGAGGCAGCAGUGGGGAAUAUUGCACAAUGGGCGCAAGCCUGAUGCAGCGACGCCGCGUGGGGGAUGACGGCCUUCGGGUUGUAAACCUCUUUCGACAGGGACGAAGCUUUGGUGACGGUACCUGUAGAAGAAGCACCGGCUAACUACGUG